rnacentral:tRNA from 1 species
GCUGGUGUAGCUCAGUGGGAAGAGCGCGGGCCUCGUAAGUCCGUGAUCGGCGUUCGAAUCGCCGCGCCAACUCCG